UGGCGGGUAGUGUAAUGGUAGCACCGCAGCUUUUGGAGCUGCUUGUCAAGGUUCGAACCCUUGCCCGCCAGCCA
rnacentral:tRNA from 3 species